rnacentral:rRNA from 1 species
AGCGAACGCUGGCGGCAGGCCUAACACAUGCAAGUCGAACGAACUCUUCGGAGUUAGUGGCGGACGGGUGAGUAACACGUGGGAACGUGCCUUUAGGUUCGGAAUAACUCAGGGAAACUUGUGCUAAUACCGAAUGUGCCCUUCGGGGGAAAGAUUUAUCGCCUUUAGAGCGGCCCGCGUCUGAUUAGCUAGUUGGUGAGGUAAAGGCUCACCAAGGCAACGAUCAGUAGCUGGUCUGAGAGGAUGAUCAGCCACAUUGGGACUGAGACACGGCCCAAACUCCUACGGGAGGCAGCAGUGGGGAAUCUUGCGCAAUGGGCGAAAGCCUGACGCAGCCAUGCCGCGUGAAUGAUGAAGGUCUUGGGAUUAAAAUUCUUUCACCGGGGACGAUAAUGACGGUACCCGGAGAAGAAGCCCCGGCUAACUUCGUGCCAGCCGCCGCCGUAA